UCUCACCAAACUAACUUCUUAAACUAUAGUAAAUGCCUUUAGUUGGAAAGCACGGUUAACUGCUAAUUCUACCUGUAUAAUAUUUGUAACGUUCCAUCUUAUUAGAAAAAGGAAUUGCAAUUUUAUUAUGGUGAGUCCUCAAAUAUUGCGGUUUUUGGUUGAGAUAUGGUUGGUUGUGCUAAAGUCACACAAUUACUUUUGGAAGAAAUAAUGUAGAUGAAUGACUUUUAGAGUUGCUGAAGUGAUGUCUAGUGGCCUUUCAAGGGUAUAUAUCAUAUGAAACUUGAGCAAUUUCCCAUUAUAUGCUUGCCUCUUCUAACAGAAAUUCAAAUAUUUUAUUUUGAAAAAGAAUAAAUGGUGUGAUGGAAUUUAAGUAAUUUGUUACGCGAGUUAUGGGGAAUACUUUUGUUGCAGUAGUUGUUAAGAUGGAAACCUGAUAGGUGUUUUUAUAUAUUUGUUUUGCUAGGUAAUGGAUGUCUGUGGUAGUGUCCUAACAAUUUUGUAGUCGAAGUCUCCAAUCAAACUGGGGUAUUAACAUCAUCAUCCACUGAAACUCAACUUUGCUUUUGUAUAUUUUCAUGAAAGCAUAGUAUUAGCUUAAAUCUCUGCUAAUGGACAUAAAUGGGCUGGGACUAUUUGACCUUGGAUUUACUGUUGGAGGGCUAGGGGCAGUCAAAUGAUUUAUCCUCAUAUUCUCUAAACUAGUAAAAAACUAAAAGAUUUUGAAUUCCCUGUGAUAUUAUCCUUUUUAUUUGAUCUUGAAUAUCUUUGCAG
rnacentral:misc_RNA from 1 species